rnacentral:rRNA from 1 species
UACGGGGGGGGCAAGCGUUGUUCGGAAUUACUGGGCGUAAAGGGCGCGUAGGCGGCCUGCUAAGUCACACGUGAAAUCCCUCGGCUCAACCCGGGAACUGCGUCCGAUACUGGAAGGCUUGAAUCCGGGAGAGGGAUGCGGAAUUCCAGGUGUAGCGGUGAAAUGCGUAGAUAUCUGGAGGAACACCGGUGGCGAAGGCGGCAUCCUGGACCGGCAUUGACGCUGAGGCGCGAAAGCCAGGGGAGCAAACGGG